rnacentral:rRNA from 1 species
GUAGGGGUCCAAGCGUUAAUCGGGAAUUACUGGGGCGUAAAGCGUGCGCAGGCGGUUGUGGCAAGACCGAUGUGAAAUCCCCGGGGCUUAACCUGGGAAUUGCAUUGGUGACUGCACGGCUAGAGUGUGUCAGAGGGGGGUAGAAUUCCACGUGUAGCAGUGAAAUGCGUAGAGAUGUGGAGGAAUACCGAUGGCGAAGGCAGCCCCCUGGGAUAACACUGACGCUCAUGCACGAAAGCGUGGGGAGCAAACAGGAUUAGAUACCCUGGUAGUCCACGCCCUAAACGAUGUCAACUAGUUGUUGGGGAUUCAUUUCCUUAGUAACGUAGCUAACGCGUGAAGUUGACCGCCUGGGGAGUACGGUCGCAAAGAUUA